UGAGUGAUUUCAUGAGAAACAUUUUCUCAUGUAAUAAAUGGGGCGCUAAAAGAGGAUAAGGUCAAGGCGCUAAGAUUGGUUGCUCAUUCAAAUUCAAACUUUAUUUUGAAUUUGAAUGGCCAACCAAUCAUCCUUAUCCACUCAUUUGGCCCAUUAAAGUAGGGCAUGAGGAGGGCUUUGCGUGAGAAAAAAUUCAUGAGAACUUUCUUCUCGUGAAUUCAAAUGGGCACAGUGGAAGUGAGGUGGCACAAGGAGAAUGGGUCAAGGUGGUUUUAUUAUUUAAACCAACCUAAUUGAACCAAAUAAGUUAGGCCCAAUUAGACUAAUUUAAACCCAACUUAAUUAGACUUAAUUAGGUUCAAUAAAAUCUUAAUCAAAUCAGGAAUUGAUUAAGCCCAACCCCUGAUCA
rnacentral:lncRNA from 1 species